GAUGAACGCUAGCGGCAGGCUUAAUACAUGCAAGUCGAGGGGCAGCAGGACUGUAGCAAUACAGUUGCUGGCGACCGGCAAACGGGUGCGGAACACGUACGCAACCUACCCAAAACUGGGGGAUAGCCCGGGGAAACCCGGAUUAAUACCUCGUAACCUUUUUAAGUGGCAUCACUUGAUAAGUAUAGCUCCGGCGGUUUUGGAUGGGCGUGCGCCUGAUUAGGUAGUUGGUGCGGGUAACGGCCCACCAAGCCUGCGAUCAGUAACUGGUGUGAGAGCACGACCAGUCACACGGGCACUGAGACACGGGCCCGACUCCUACGGGAGGCAGCAGUAAGGAAUAUUGGUCAAUGGGCGCAAGUCUGAACCAGCCAUGCCGCGUGAAGGAUGAAGGUCCUCUGGAUUGUAAACUUCUUUUAUGGGGGACGAAACCCGGAUAUUCUUAUCCGAUUGACGGUACCUCAGGAAUAAGCACCGGCUAACUCCGUG
rnacentral:rRNA from 1 species